CUUGGUUUGUCUUGGUCCGUACAGGUCGAGGCCCAAUUGGCCCAAAAUACAACUGACAAUCUGUCAGUUGACGUUGAGUACUACUUUGCGCAUAUUUUGCGACUUUUGCGUGAAUUGCCGAGCCUAGCCGAGUUUUCAACAAGAAAUCGAACUAAUGGAUGAUAAUUACAAUUCUGGACAUGAAAAGCAUAUGGUCGGAUAAGAAGUUAAGCCCAAAAUGACUUUUUAAUGUAUAUUUACUAUAUUUUUGUUUCUAAUUCUAAGACACUAACUCUUAUGUUUCUAUCUUUGUUAAUUGUCGAGAUAAAUUCAUGCAUAAAGUCCGAUAUGAUGAAUUUCCGAAAAUGUUGUAAGGCAUGUGGCGUUAUUUUUAUUAAUACCGUUAUGACAUAAAUUACGAAUACCUAACAGGGACGCAUUAAAACAUAAAGCGUUAUGCUUUGAAGUGAUAUUUUUCGCCGCCAUUCUUCGCGUUGGGUGUGUUAACAGAUACGUCCUUAUGCUGCCAAAGUUUGCAGCUAAAUAUAUAUGUGUUUCAUAACAUAUGCCAUUAUGCUAGUAAUUUGUUGUACAUUUCUAGCAAUGCAUAUUAUCGCAUUCAAUUGUGAGACAUUAUUGCUGUAAUAUUGACAACAUAAUAGUUAGAAUUAUAUGCGUAUCAAAUUAUAAAACCUUAUGUCUUCAACUUAUUCGUAAUUGAUAGUUCAAAUUUUGGUCGCUUCCGAUGAUAGUUUGGAUAUCUUCUCACCGAGAUUGUCGUGCAUUGCAGAACCACCCAAUUGUAAGUGAGGAGCAAAUAUUUUUUUUGCUAUUAUGCAUGUCAAAGUGGGAUAGAUAUAAUGCGGUGAAUGUAGGUAGACUAGCCAGCGGCGGCGGCCGGCCAGAAUUAAAAGUACCUGCCGUAAUAACAAAACAAAAUCUCAUUACGCGGGUCAGUUAGUUGUGAAAAAAUAGAAUCACAAGUGAUAAUAAAUUGUGUUUAGUUGUUUUAUUGUGUGGCGUUACAUAUAUUUAAUUAUGGAGGAUAACUGUAAGGUAAGUUAUUUAAAUCAUGUGGAUUUUGACACAUGCAUACAUACUGAAUUUGUCUUUUCGGUCCGAAAUACCUAUGUGGAAAAAUAAUGAGUAAAAUUACAAAUCUUCUUCUUUAACACACCUACCUAAGUAACAGAUAUUUUUAAAUAACGCUUAGCUAUCCAUUGUUUAUACGGGUUUGUAACCACAACAAUGUAAAUGUAACCCUAUUUACCCGAUUCAAAUAAAUAGUAGUAAUUAUUUAGUUAGUCGAAGGCAAUUAAGUACAUCUUUUCUUUUAUACUUUUCGUCUUAUGUAAUUAUAAUAAAAGCCAACUGACAUGUCAGUUACAUAACAGUCAUAGUAGUCAGUAACUUUUAUAUCCUUUUAAAAGGAAAAUUGUACUACUCUCUUGCCUUAUAACAGUAUUACCUACUUGAAAUACUUUUAAUGUUUACUGGAAUCUAGAUAUCGUACAACAAACAAAUAAAUUACGAGGGUAAAAAAUGUAUCUCCUACUUUCUACAUUUAUUAAUUUAGGUACAUAUAAUAGCCAUGACACGGUACUUAAGAACUUACUGAUUACUAUUUUUUUUACAGAGUGUACUGUUACAAGACUUAAUCGAAAAACGGCGGUUACUUUCUAAACUUCGAGGCAAAAUAAUUGAAACUCGAGAAAAAUCAGAAAAUAAUGUCUCCGGUAAGUCCUCUUUUCUGUGAAGUGCUAAUUAUAAUUAUAUUAUCGGCAUAUCUAUUACUGCAGCUGCGGUUUUCUGUAAGUUGGAAGUACUACCCCAGUUGGGCUCUGCUCAGGAUUUGAAAUGACAUCCGCUGUACUGUGCCCCACCACAUAAGGCAAGAUGACAUUUAUACAUAUUUUUUGUGCUUCCAGGGAAUGACAACUGUGUGGAAGGAGAACAAGAAGAUCCGAACAUUUUGUUUAUAAAAAAUACAUUCCAGGAUGUCAGAACAAAUAAAAUUAAAAUUAAAGAAAUACAUGAUGCCUCAGGAGAAAGUUUUGACUAUGACAGCGAUGAUUCAGUUAAAGAUAAAAAUUAUGAGCCAAACAAAGACGACUAUAACUCAAGCUGCAGUCAAAUUAGCAACUCCCCCGAUGCAGUUUGCAUAAAUCGAGUAAAAAGGCGUUUAUUUUCUCCAAAUAAAAAUAAACUUGAAACGAGAAACUGCCCCUUACCUAUGAAAAGACCCCACACUACAGAACCUCCAGAAAUUAAUUUUGAAAUUGUACCUUUAAAAGAUAAACUUGAUGUGUGCCUGUCUGAUGAAGGUGACAAUUUUUCUUUACCGCCUGCUAAGAAACUAUGCCUCGAGAGAGUAAUUGUUGAUGUUAACCUAAAUGGUUGUUUGAGUAGUGAUUCCGACAGCGAAAAAAAUUCAUAUUCGCCAAUAAAACCACAAAAUCCUGAAUCUUUACCUAACAAUACAUCAAUUAAUAAUAAUGUGAUGUGUAAUAAUACCUUGCCAAUUGAAUUUACUGCAGAAGUGAGCUUAAAUCACGAUUCAGACAUAACUACACAUGGAGAUAAUAUUGAAGACAAGGAUGCUCCAACUCUUUCAUCAAAUUUAAUAAGUAAUAAUUACAUCAAUGUGGAAGGUACAAAUAAUACAUCUGAAGAUAAUUCCGAAUCAUUAGUAACGCACAAAGUUAAAAAGAAAAUUGUGAAUACAUCGAAAUGGAAAAGGAAUGCAUCCAAAAUAGCAAGAUUGAAAGGAUCUCCAUAUCGUUCUGCUGUUGCCAAAAAGAUACCUGAUGUUGAGGGCCGUAAACUAAAAGACCCUUGUUCAUGCAAAGCGCAAUGUUAUUUGAAAAUAUCUAAUGAUCAAAGAUUGCAAAUAUUUAAUGAGUUUUGGAAGAAAUGUCAAAGUUGGGAUCAGCGUCGGCAAUUUAUUGUAAGUAAUGUGAAGAAAAGUAAAAAGCGAUUGAUGAAAACCGACGGUGACUUAGAGACGGAUAGAAGAAAAUUCUCAUACACUUACAGUCUUACAAUUGGAGGUUUAAGUGAAAAGGUCUGCAAGGUUAUGUAUUUGAACACACUUUCAAUAGGAGAAAAAUUCGUUAAAAUAAGCAUGGAAAAACAACUGGCAGGAGGAUUGACAAUUGGAGAUCAAAGGGGUAAGCAUGUUCCAGGAAACAAAUCACCUGAACUGAUGAUUCAAAAUGUAAUGGAUCAUAUAAAAUGCUACCCGUUUUAUGAAAGUCACUAUUCGCGUCAAAAAAGUGAGAAAAAAUAUUUAGGCCCAGACUUAAACAUUGCAACCAUGUACGCUCAUUAUAAAAUACUAAUGAAAGAAGAGAAUACACCUCAAAAACUGAUUGCAAAAGAAUGUAUAUACAGAAAUAUAUUCAAUACUAAAUUUAACCUAAGCUUUAAAUUACCAUCACUAGACACAUGUGAUGAUUGUGAUGAAUAUCAAAACAAUUUAAAGAACGCAAAAGAUGAAACCGAAAAAAAGGAAAUAGAAGAAAAGUAUGAAGAUCAUAGCAAGUUAGCUGAGAAAAGAUACAUGUUGAAAAAAGAAGACAAAGAAGAAGCAAUGACUAGUUCAGGGAAGAAAAAAGUUCUCAUGUUUGAUCUACAAAAAUGCUUAGCAACUCCAAAUUUAACAAAUACAAAGUCGUUCUACUUACGCAAACUUUGGACUUUAAAUUUAACAAUAUUUGAUGCAACAGAUAAUAGUGCUACUAAUAUGCUAUGGUCUGAAAACGUUGGUGGUAGAGGAGGCAAUGAAAUUGCAUCCUGUCUCCUGCGUUGGGCAGAUGAGAAUAAAUUGAAAUUAUCAACUGUUGAAGAACUGACGUUUUGGUCAGACAACUGUGCAGGCCAAAAUAGGAACUUUAUGAUAGUGAGUACUUAUAUUUGGUUGCUGCACCAAUUUCCAAAUUUAAAGGUUGUCAAUCACAAGUUUAUGCUCAAGGGUCAUACCCAUAUGGAGGUUGACCAAGUACAUUCACAAAUUGAAAGAAAAAAGAAGCAACUGAAAACUAUGCAAAUAGCAAUUCCGAGAGAUUGGUCCCAAUUUAUUCGGACAUGCGGAGGAAAAAGAAAUUUUGAUGUAUUUGAUAUGACACUGUCACAUUUUAAAGAUAUAACCUCUUUAUAUAAGAAGAAUGGACCAUUAGUUCAGCGAAAAAAGAACAAGGAAGGAAUCGACUUUAAAAUAUCUGAAUGUGUUUACUUAAAAUUGAAACAAGAGGCGCCGGGAGUGCUUUAUUACAAAACAAAUUUUACACAUGAAUUUUCUGAAAUAUCUUUUGUACGAAAUACAUCUAAAGGAGUACAGUUUGCAGCAAAUUUGCCAAAUGUGCGAGAGGAAGAAAAACCAAUAUCUUCUGCUAAAUAUAAAGAUUUAAUAAAUCUAUUGCAGUGGGUGCCUCAAGAAUUUCACGGGUUCUACAAACAUUUGAAACAUAGUGCUGAUGGAUCUGAUUUUCCCGAUUGUGACUAAAACUUUCCAUUUAUUAAACACUAGCGACCCGCCCCGGCUUCGCACAUACAAAGUUACAAACCUUCCUCUUGAAUAUUUAAAAAAUCGCAUCAAAAUCCGUUGCGUAGUUUUAAAUAGCUAAGCAUACAUAGGGACAGACAGACAGACAGACAGCGAGAAGCGAAUUUAUUUUAUACUAUGUCGUGAAGCAUUGAAAAUAGCUACUGUAUAGAUAAUUAAGCAUUCUUAUUAUUUUUUGGCUUAAAUUUAAUAAGUUUUGAUAGCAUUUCCAACCUUCUGCUUGAAAUAAUUUAUUUCCCAAUACAGUAUACAAUAUAUAUAAUAAGUAUAUAAUAACAUCUGCCUAUAUGCAUUUAAAAAAAAAUUACACCAUAACGCGAUAUUUCAAUAUACAAUCAGACUUGAGCAAUAAAAAUUGCAGGCAUUAAGUCGGAUGUAAACAUAACGUACGUGUCAACUACGGUAAAUUAAAUUAUUUCAGGCAUAAAGUUGUAUUCGUGUGAUAAAUUUAAAUAAAUAUGAUUAAAAAAUGUAUUUAACGAGAAGUGUAUGCAAAACGUAAUUAAAUAAAACGUAUAAUAGCUUACCUUCGAUGACAGAAAAAACGGACAUUUCGCAUGUAAAUUGAGUAAAUUAUUGGCAAAAUCAUUAUUGGUUUUUAUUUUUGCUCUCCUGGAAACCUUGAUAUUACUAGAUCCGACCAUAUGCUUUUCAAGUCCAGAAUUGUUGCUGUGAACAUCACAUACAAAUUUGACGUGACGGUAUUUAUAAGUCCGGUUGAUAGCUGACGAUGGAGUCAACGUUGCAAGACACAGAGGAAGUUUUUAUAAAGGCUGAGCCCCCUGAGGAUGUGUGUGUGCAAAAAGCGUCCUGCGAGGACUUGCCUAUAAAAGUCGAGCCUUCGUAUGUAAACGACGAGUCAUUGGGCGAGAGUGUGUCUAUUGAAAUUGAGGUAUCACUGGAUGUUGUUAGUAUAAAACACGAGACAGAUGACACGGCGGCGGGAAACGAAAAAGAGAAUAAUGAGCUGUUACCUGAGCCUGCGCGCGGUCCCGAGCCAGCCGUGGAGCAGCGCAUCAUUGCUACCAAAGAGCAAUCUCCAAAAAAGAAAUCAAGUGGAAAACCAAAAAUUUUUAAAUGUGCUCACUGUAAAUAUGAAACUGUCAAUCGGGUUUGCUUAGUAAGACACAUGAGGAAAAAUUGUGAUGAGAAAUCCAGCAACAAAAGUUGUUUAAGAGUCCUUGAAAGGCAUCGCACUGUGAACAAAUUCAAAUGUGAACUAAUGUAUGCUGGUACUAGCAAAAGUAAUUUACUACAUGAAGAGAUACAUGAUGUCCAACUUUAUAAAUGUAACCAAUGUAGUUAUGCUUGUACCCAACAAGAUGAUUUACUAAAACAUAAAAUAGUACAUACUGUCAAACCAAGCAACCCUCAAAGGAAAUUGCAAGUUCUUGAAAGAAAAAAUACUAAGGAAAAGGCAUACAAAUGCAGCUUUUGCAGUAAUGCUUUCUGUGAAGAAGUUAGUUUGCAAGUACAUGAACGGAAACACACUGGCGAAAAACCCUUCAAAUGCGAUCAAUGUAGCUAUGCUGGUACACAAAUAAACCAUUUACUGCUCCAUAAAGCUAUGCAUACCUAUGUAAAUCCUUAUAAAUGUGACCAAUGUAAAUUUGCUUGUGCCAAAAACGAUGAUCUACUUAAACACAAAGUAAUACAUGACAAUGUCCAACCUUAUAAGUGUGACAAAUGUAGUUUUGCUACUGACAGAAAAUGGAAUUUGCAAGUCCAUGAAACAAGUCACACAGGUAAGAAGGCUUACAAAUGUAGCAUAUGCAGUUAUACUACUGUAAGGAAAAAUAAUCUAGUAAAACAUGAGGCAAGACAUGCUGUCAAACGUUUCAAAUGUGAAAAAUGUAGUUUUGCUUGCAAUCGUCAGUUUCAAUUGAAAAAUCAUGAAAGGAUACAUGAUGAGAAGCUGAACAAGCGUAUCCCGGUGACUCAUGCUCGAAACGGUUUAAGCAACCAUCUAUCAACACAGGAAGAUUCGGCAGAGGACCAGCCGGUACCACCAUUAGAUCCAGUUCAGGACAAAUAAUCGAUUAUUGUUUUUAUAAAAAUAAACGUGUUUUACACAGA